rnacentral:tRNA from 1 species
GGGGGCGUGGUCUAGUGGUUAGGACGCCGGCCUUUCAAGCCGGAGAUCACGGGUUCGAUCCCCGUCGCCCCUA